ACUCAAAUGAAUUGACGGGGGAGCGCACAACCGGUGGAGCAUGUGGUUUAAUUCGAUACGAAGCGAAAAACCUUACCCAGGUUUGACAUGUACCUGCACGGCCUAUGAAAGUAGGCUUUCUUCGAGAGUGGUACACAGGUGAUGCAUGGCUGUCGUCAGCUCGUGUCGUGAGACGUCCGCUUAAGUGCGGUAACGAGCGCAACCCUUAUCGCCAGUUAUAUUUGUCUGGCGAGACUGCCCUAGUUUCUACUAGGGAGGAAGGAGAGGACGACGUCAAGUCAGCAUGUCCCUUACAUCUGGGGCUACACACAUCCUACAAUGGAGCCGACAACAGGUUGCGAAGAGGUAACUCUGAGCUAAUCCUUAUAAACGGCCCCUCAGUUCGGAUUGAGGGCUGCAACUCGCCCUCAUGAAGCCGGAAUCGGUAGUAAUCGCAAAUCAGAAGGUUGCGGUGAAUACGUUCUCGCUCCUUGUACACACCGCCCGU
rnacentral:rRNA from 1 species